rnacentral:rRNA from 1 species
UACGGGGGGGGUAAGCGUUGUUCGGAAUUACUGGGCGUAAAGGGCUCGUAGGCGGCCAACUAAGUCGGACGUGAAAUCCCUCAGCUUAACUGGGGAACUGCGUCCGAUACUGGAUGGCUUGGAUUCGGGAGAGGAAUGCGGAAUUCCAGGUGUAGCGGUGAAAUGCGUAGAUAUCUGGAGGAACACCGGUGGCGAAGGCGGGUCUCUGGGCCGAUACUGACGCUGAGGAGCGAAAGCGUGGGGAGCGAACAGG